rnacentral:tRNA from 1 species
GGGCGCGUAGUGGAGUGGUUACCACGUUGGUCUUCGACACCUCGUGUGAUUUUGCAAACCAAAGUUCGUCGGUUCGAUCCCGGCCGUGCUCA